rnacentral:rRNA from 1 species
AGAGUUUGAUCCUGGCUCAGGACGAACGCUGGCGGCGUGCUUAAGACAUGCAAGUCGAACGGGUUCAGUUCCUUCGGGGACUGAGCUAGUGGCGGACGGGUGAGUAACACGUGAGCAACCUGCCCUUUGGACCGGGAUAACACCUCGAAAGGGGUGCUAAUACCGGGUGAGGUCUCCGGCCCGCAUGGGUUGGGGAGGAAAGGGGAAACCCGCCGAAGGAGGGGCUCGCGGCCCAUUAGCUAGUUGGUGUGGUAAUGGCGCACCAAGGCGACGAUGGGUAGCCGGCCUGAGAGGGUGAACGGCCACACUGGGACUGAGACACGGCCCAGACUCCUACGGGAGGCAGCAGUCGGGAAUCUUCGA